rnacentral:tRNA from 1 species
GGGGUAUUAGCUCAGCUGGUAGAGCGAUAGGUUCGCAAUCUAUAGGUCGGGAGUUCGAGUCUCCUAUGCUCCA